AACGAACGCUGGCGGCAUGCCUAACACAUGCAAGUCGAACGAAGCCUUCGGGCUUAGUGGCGCACGGGUGCGUAACGCGUGGGAAUCUGCCCUUUGGUUCAGAAUAACAGUUGGAAACGACUGCUAAUACCGGAUGAUGACGAAAGUCCAAAGAUUUAUCGCCAGAGGAUGAGCCCGCGUAGGAUUAGCUAGUUGGUGUGGUAAAGGCGCACCAAGGCGACGAUCCUUAGCUGGUCUGAGAGGAUGAUCAGCCACACUGGGACUGAGACACGGCCCAGACUCCUACGGGAGGCAGCAGUGGGGAAUAUUGGACAAUGGGCGAAAGCCUGAUCCAGCAAUGCCGCGUGAGUGAUGAAGGCCCUAGGGUUGUAAAGCUCUUUUACCCGGGAUGAUAAUGACAGUACCGGGAGAAUAAGCCCCGGCUAACUCCGUGCCAGCAGCCGCCGUAA
rnacentral:rRNA from 1 species